GCAGUCGAGCGGAAACGAUCCUAGCUUGCUAGGAGGCGUCGAGCGGCGGACGGGUGAGUAAUGCAUAGGAAUCUGCCCGGUAGUGGGGGAUAACCUGGGGAAACCCAGGCUAAUACCGCAUACGCCCUACGGGGGAAAGCAGGGGAUCUUCGGACCUUGCGCUAUCGGAUGAGCCUAUGUCGGAUUAGCUAGUUGGUGAGGUAACGGCUCACCAAGGCUGCGAUCCGUAGCUGGUCUGAGAGGAUGAUCAGCCACAUCGGGACUGAGACACGGCCCGAACUCCUACGGGAGGCAGCAGUGGGGAAUAUUGGACAAUGGGCGAAAGCCUGAUCCAGCCAUGCCGCGUGUGUGAAGAAGGCCUUCGGGUUGUAAAGCACUUUCAGUGAGGAAGAAAGCCUUGAGGUUAAUACCCUCGAGGGAGGACAUCACUCACAGAAGAAGCACCGGCUAACUCCGUGCCAGCAGCCGCGGUAAUACGGAGGGUGCGAGCGUUAAUCGGAAUUACUGGGCGUAAAGCGCGCGUAGGCGGCUUGAUAAGCCGGUUGUGAAAGCCCCGGGCUCAACCUGGGAACGGCAUCCGGAACUGUCAGGCUAGAGUGCAGGAGAGGAAGGUAGAAUUCCCGGUGUAGCGGUGAAAUGCGUAGAGAUCGGGAGGAAUACCAGUGGCGAAGGCGGCCUUCUGGACUGACACUGACGCUGAGGUGCGAAAGCGUGGGUAGCAAACAGGAUUAGAUACCCUGGUAGUCCACGCCGUAACGAUGUCGACUAGCCGUUGGGCUCCUUGAGAGCUUUGUGGCGCAGUUAACGCGAUAAGUCGACCG
rnacentral:rRNA from 1 species